CCUAAUACAUGCAAGUAGAACGCUGAAGGAGGAGCUUGCUUCUCUGGAUGAGUUGCGAACGGGUGAGUAACGCGUAGGUAACCUGCCUGGUAGCGGGGGAUAACUAUUGGAAACGAUAGCUAAUACCGCAUAAGAGUAGAUGUUGCAUGACAUUUGCUUAAAAGGUGCAAUUGCAUCACUACCAGAUGGACCUGCGUUGUAUUAGCUAGUUGGUGAGGUAACGGCUCACCAAGGCGACGAUACAUAGCCGACCUGAGAGGGUGAUCGGCCACACUGGGACUGAGACACGGCCCAGACUCCUACGGGAGGCAGCAGUAGGGAAUCUUCGGCAAUGGACGGAAGUCUGACCGAGCAACGCCGCGUGAGUGAAGAAGGUUUUCGGAUCGUAAAGCUCUGUUGUAAGAGAAGAACGAGUGUGAGAGUGAAA
rnacentral:rRNA from 1 species